CCUACGGGUGGCAGCAGUGGGGAAUAUUGCACAAUGGGCGAAAGCCUGAUGCAGCAACGCCGCGUGAGCGAUGAAGGCCUUCGGGUCGUAAAGCUCUGUCCUCAAGGAAGAUAAUGACGGUACUUGAGGAGGAAGCCCCGGCAAACUACGUGCCAGCAGCCGCGGUAAUACGUCGGGGGCUAGCGUUAUCCGGAAUUACCGGGCGUAAAGGGUGCGUAGGUGGUUUCUUAAGUCAGAGGUGAAAGGCUAGGGCUCAACCGUAGUAAGCCUUUGAAACUGGGAAACUUGAGUGGAGGAGAGGAGAGUGGAAUUCCUGGUGUAGCGGUGAAAUGCUUAGAUAUCGCGAAGAACUCCGAUUGCGAAGGCAGCCUGCUGGACUGUAACUGACGCUGAGGCUCGAAAGUGUGGGUAUCAAACAGGAUUAGAUACCCGGGUAGUC
rnacentral:rRNA from 1 species